UUAAUGUGAACGUCAGCAUUAUUUUUAUUUUGUAUGUAUUUAUUUUUGUUUUAACUUGAAUGUUUGUGGUGUUAAUCCAAUAACUUUACCGGAUGCUUCGAAGGUGAUAACAUUUCUAAUAGAGUUUUCGAAGUUUUUUCGCCGUUUCGAUAACAUGUUCAUUCCAGCGAAGAUGCUGAUUAAUAUACAGGGUGAUUCAUUAAGAAUGAACAAUCUCUGAACUGGAGAUAUUACACACCAAAAUAUGGCGAUUGAGAUUCUGUCUUGUUUACGAGAUACAGGGUUAUUAAGGAAACUGGAGGUUACACUGGACGGCAUGGGACUGACCCUCUUCGAAGGACUAACGCUCAUGAUGAUCGCUAAACCGCUAUCGUGUUAUGCGACUUCAGUUUGCCAGGAAUUAUGAACACUGGGGUGAAAAUGAAUGGAAGCACCUUUUGUUUACUGAUGAGUCGAGAUUUACGGUCUGCGGAUGAUCGUAAAAAGGAUAUGACGAAGACUACAAUAACAUUUGACAAAAAGUACCCUUAGUUCUAGAGUAAACUACCCAAUGGGUUUACCUAUAGUGUGGGCUGGAAUUUCUCUAGAGGCAUGCACACAAUUUUACGUCAUUUUAAGAGGCCCCUUAACUGCUGUCAGUUGCAUGAAAAUGCCUUGCUCUAACUCGCGAGAAUUACUCAAGAAUACUUAAAAGAUGUAGGCAUUGGAGUGGCCAGCGUUAAGUCCAGAUGCAAAUCCAACUGAACACGUUUUGGACAUGUUUGGGCGAAGACUACAAAUUCGUGUUCAAAGACUACGCAGUCCUGCUGUUAUAACAUUAAAUUAAUUAUAAUAUUACAUUAAAUACAUUAUUCCUCAAGAGACA